rfam:Colius striatus contig7560, whole genome shotgun sequence.
UACUGUUUGUGAUGAUUAAAGCAAUGGGAAUCUCUCUGAAUGAGGCUGAGGAGGACUCUUGCACUGAAACAGUA